UACGUAGGGUGCGAGCGUUAAUCGGAAUUACUGGGCGUAAAGCGAGCGCAGGCGGUCCUAAAAGCCAGAUGUGAAAUCCCCGAGCUCAACUUGGGAACUGCGUUUGGAACUCUAGGACUAGAGUGUGUCAGAGGGAGGUAGAAUUCCACGUGUAGCAGUGAAAUGCGUAGAGAUGUGGAGGAACACCGAUGGCGAAGGCAGCCUCCUGGGAUAACACUGACGCUCAUGCUCGAAAGCGUGGGGAGCAAACAGG
rnacentral:rRNA from 1 species